rnacentral:rRNA from 1 species
AGUCACGGGGGCUCGCAAGAGCAACCGGCGAACGGGUGCGUAACACGUGAACAACCUGCCCUCGUGUGGGGGAUAGCCGGGCUAACGCCCGGGUAAUACCGCAUACGUUCUCUUUGGGGAGUCCCGAGGAGAGGAAAGCUCCGGCAACGGAGCGCACGGGGAGGGGUUCGCGGCCUAUCAGCUAGUUGGCGGGGUAAUGGCCCACCAAGGCGACGACGGGUAGCUGGUCUGAGAGGAUGGCCAGCCACAUUGGGACUGAGAGACGGCCCAGACUCCUACGGGAGGCAGCAGUGGGGAAUCUUGCGCAAUGGCCGAAAGGCUGACGCAGCGACGCCGCGUGUGGGAGGACGCCUUUCGGGGUGUAAACCACUGUUGCCCGGGACGAACAGCCCUUUUCGAGGGGUCUGACGGUACCGGGUGAGGAAGCACCGGCUAACUCCGUGCCAGCAGCCGCGGUAAUACGGAGGGUGCGAGCGUUGUCCGGAAUCAUUGGGCGUAAAGGGCGCGUAGGUGGCACGAUCAGCGUGCGGUGAAAGCUCGGGGCUCAACCCCGAGUCGGCCGUGCGAACUAUCGAGCUGGAGCACUGUAGAGGCAGGCGGAAUUCCGGGUGUAGCGGUGGAAUGCGUAGAGAUCCGGAAGAACACCGGUGGCGAAGGCGGCCUGCUGGGCAGUUGCUGACACUGAGGCGCGACAGCGUGGGGAGCAAACAGGAUUAGAUACCCUGGUAGUCCACGCCGUAAACGAUGGGCACUAGGCGCUUGGGGGAGCGACCCCCCGAGGGCCGGCGCUAACGCAUUAAGUGCCCCGCCUGGGGA